AGACUGAACAGGAGAACUUUAUUAUCCUCCUGAACUGAGAGAAGACUUACUUCUGUGGUUUAAUAUACCUCUUAUUUUACUGUCAGUCCUGAUGUACGUCAUGGAUAUCAUCUUAUUGAGACGUCUCUGGAAAAGAAGACGAGACAACAGGC